AGCAGCCGCGGUAAUUCCAGCUCCAAUAGCGUAUAUUAAAGUUGUUGCAGUUAAAAAGCUCGUAGUUGAAUUUCGGGAUUAGUACGUUGGUCGUGCCUUCGGUACGUACUGGUGUUACUGAUUCCUACCUUCUGACGAACCGUCAUGUCAUUAAUUUGAUGUGGCGGGGAAUCAGGACUGUUACUUUGAAAAAUUAGAGUGUUUAAAGCAGGCUCGCGCUUGAAUACAUUAGCAUGGAAUAAUGAAAUAGGACGUUCGAUCCUAUUUUGUUGGUUUCUAGGAUUGACGUAAUGAUUAAUAGGGAUAGUUGGGGGCAUUAGUAUUCAAUUGUCAGAGGUGAAAUUCUUGGAUUUAUUGAAGACUAACUACUGCGAAAGCAUUUGCCAAGGAUGUUUUCAUUAAUCAAGAACGAAAGUUAGGGGAUCGAAGACGAUCAGAUACCGUCGUAGU
rnacentral:rRNA from 1 species